rnacentral:rRNA from 1 species
GCCGAAUAUCCAAGGUUUCCAGAGUAAAGCUGAUCUGCUCUGGGUAAGUCGGGGCCUAAGGAGAGGCAGAGAUGCGUAUCCGAUGGACAGCAGGUUUAAGAUUCCUGCACCCCUUGUUAUCAGAACUGCGGGGACACGGGAAGGGAAGCAGAGCCGGGAAUGGAAAGCCCGGUGCAAGCGAAGGAGUCGCAGGGUUGGAAAAUCCGCCCUGCAUGAGACGAAGGCGUGAUGCGGAGCGAAAUGAAGUAGUGAAGCUGCGGCCCCUUCCUGUCGAGAAAAGCCGCUAUCGUGUAGCAAGGGCCCGUACCGUAAACCGACACAGGUGGAUGAGGAGAGGAUCCUAAGGCCGGCGGGAGAAGUGUUGUUAAGGAACUCGGCAAAAUGACUCCGUAACUUCGGGAGAAGGAGUGCUGCGCAAGCAGCCGCAGAGAAAUGUCCCAAGCAACUGUUUAGCAAAAACACAGGUCUAUGCGAAACCGGAAGGUGAGGUAUAUGGGCUGACGCCUGCCCGGUGCUGGAAGGUUAAGGGGAGAGCUUAGCGCAAGCGAAGGUUUGAACUUAAGCCCCAGUAAACGGCGGCCGUAACGAUAACGGUCCUAAGGUAGCGAAAUUCCUUGUCGGGUAAGUUCCGACCCGCACGAAAGGCGUAAUGAUUUGGGCACUGUCUCAACAACACACCCGGUGAAAUUGAAAUACCAGUGAAGAUGCUGGUUACCCGCGCCAGGACGGAAAGACCCCAUGGAGCUUUACUCCAGCCUGAUACUGGGAUUCGGUAUUGCAUGUACAGGAUAGGUGGGAGGCUAAGAACUCAUGGCGCCAGCCGUGAGGGAGCCGGUGUUGGGAUACCACCCCUGCAGUACUGGGUUUCUAACCUGCGCCCGUGACCCGGGCGGGGGACAAUGUCAGGCGGGGAGUUUGACUGGGGCGGUCGCCUCCGAAAGGGUAUCGGAGGCGCUCAAAGGUCUCCUCAGGAUGGUUGGAAACCAUCCAGAGAGUGCAAAGGCAGAAGGAGGCUUGACUGCGACACCGACGGGUGGAGCAGGUACGAAAGUAGGACUUAGUGAUCCGGUGGCAUAAAGUGGGAUUGCCAUCGCUCAACGGAUAAAAGCUACCCUGGGAUAACAGGCUUAUCACUCCCAAGAGUUCACAUCGACGGAGUGGUUUGGCACCUCGAUGUCGGCUCAUCGCAUCCUGGAGCUGGAGCAGGUUCCAAGGGUUGGGCUGUUCGCCCAUUAAAGCGGUACGCGAGCUGGGUUCAGAACGUCGUGAGACAGUUCGGUCCCUAUCCGGCGCGGGCGCAGGAUAUCUGAGAGGAGCUGUCCUUAGUACGAGAGGACCGGGAUGGACCGUCCGCUGGUGGACCGGUUGUCAUGCCAAUGGCACGGCCGGGUAGCCAAAACGGGAAGGGAUAAACGCUGAAGGCAUCUAAGCGUGAAGCCCCCCUCAAGAUGAGAUAUCCAUACUCGAAAGAGUGAGAGACCCCUUAGAGACGAUGAGGUAGAUAGGGCAGGGAUGGAAGCACAGCGAUGUGUGGAGUUGACUGUUACUAAUCGGUCGAUAGCCU